rnacentral:rRNA from 1 species
UGAGACAGGUGCUGCAUGGCUGUCGUCAGCUCGUGUUGUGAAAUGUUGGGUUAAGUCCCGCAACGAGCGCAACCCUUAUCCUUUGUUGCCAGCACGUCAUGGUGGGAACUCAAAGGAGACUGCCGGUGAUAAACCGGAGGAAGGUGGGGAUGACGUCAAGUCAUCAUGGCCCUUACGAGUAGGGCUACACACGUGCUACAAUGGCGCAUACAAAGAGAAGCGACCUCGCGAGAGCAAGCGGACCUCACAAAGUGCGUCGUAGUCCGGAUCGGAGUCUGCAACUCGACUCCGUGAAGUCGGAAUCGCUAGUAAUCGUGGAUCAGAAUGCCACGGUGAAUACGUUCCCGGGCCUUGUACACACCGCCCGUCACACCAUGGGAGUGGGUUGCAAAAGAAGUAGGUAGCUUAACCUUCGGGAGGGCGCUUACCACUUUGUGAUUCAUGACUGGGGUGAAGUCGUAACAAGGUAACCGUAGGGGAACCUGCGGUUGGAUCACCUCCUUACCUGAA